UGUCUCCUGAUCCCCAUCUCCCUCUUCCUCUCCCCUCCUGCAUGACCAGAUUGUUCUCUGAAAUGUAGUUGUGUGAUUUUGCUGCAGGCAACUGGUUGAGUUACAGGUAAAUUGCUGCUUUCUCUCAUACCUGUAUUUCAGAUGAGUUCACAGAGAAGAGUAAGAUAAACAAUGGAGGCUAAUAAUGAGAGCCAGGAAGGAUGGUGAGGGGAAAUCACACAGAAAGAAUUGGCACCUUUUUUCCCCCCACCUUAUCUCUGUUACAUCUUGUGAUGGCACAAAGAUAUGCAAGAGAUGUAGCACUAGCACUUGUGCAAGCCCUCCUUAGCCAUGAGAGGAUGCUCUUGGUACACAAACUUUGGAUGAGCCAGAGUCCCUGCCACCAUCCUCCUCAUCAUUUUCAAUGCAGCCUUUGGGGCAGACUGAAGAUCUGACAGGGAAGCCUGUGUGCACUGUGCUACCACCCCGACUAUUCUAAUGGCCUUCUGGGAAAUGUAGAUUGAUUUUAUCAUUUCCUUCCAACAGGAAAACUCACUUUUGAGCCCUUCAUCAUCAUUGUAGCUCCACAUGUGUAGGACUCUGCACAGUCACCUUGUCUUUGUAUGCUUUGUUGCACACUCCUUAAUUGCACACAUUUUCUGUGGAGAUUGCAGAAAACUGUUGGUUCCCAAACUUAAGUCACAUCAAAUCUAUAGCUACCUGUUAUCAUACAGUUUGUAUCAUUGAUUCUUCACUCUUUUUCUUCAUUUGUACUUCUUAGGGAGUAAAAACUCAUCAGCUUUCAAGUUGCUAAUGUUUCAUAAUGUUAAAUGAUUUGUCCCAGAGGAUCUGGUGGCCAAGUCAGGAAAGGAAUUUGUCUUCUAAAUGCCUGCCCUCAUUCUUAAAGGACACUCCCUUGUGUUUCUGCAUCCCCUUGAUAUGAACUCUGAAUAUAGCGUGGAAUAAAUGGAAAAAAUGUCUUAA